CAGACCUCUAAUCGGAAAAGACUACCCGCUGAGUUUAAGCAUAUCACUAAGCGGAGGAGAAGAAACUAA
rnacentral:rRNA from 2 species